UGGGGAAUAUUGGGCAAUGGAGGCAACUCUGACCCAGCAACGCCGCGUGAAUGAUGAAGGUCUUCGGAUUGUAAAGUUCUGUGAUGGGGGAUGAACACAAUGACGGUACCCCAAUAGCAAGCCACGGCUAACUACGUGCCAGCAGCCGCGGUAAUACGUAGGUGGCAAGCGUUAUCCGGAAUGACUGGGCGUAAAGGGUGCGUAGGUGGUUUAGUAAGUUGGCGGUGUAAUUCCGAGGCUCAACCUCGGCGCUACCGCCAAAACUAUUAGACUAGAGUGCAGGAGGGGUAAGUGGAAUUCCUAGUGUAGCGGUGGAAUGCGUAGAUAUUAGGAGGAACAUCAGGGGCGAAGGCGACUUACUGGACUGUAACUGACACUGAGGCACGAAAGCGUGGGGAGCAAACAGG
rnacentral:rRNA from 1 species